UGUAAUGAUGAUUCAUUAGACUAGAGUCUCUGAUUUACCAGUGAAGAUUUAUAGUGCACUGAACA